AUUGUGACAACCAAAAGUGUCUCCAGACAUCACCAAAUGUCUCCUGGGAAGCAAAAUCACUGCAAUUGAGAACUACUGACAUGCAGAAAAACUAAGUAGAGUAAAGAAGGUGGUGUGAGGGGUUAGAGAAAUGGAAAGUGUAACUGAAAGUAUAGUGAAGUUACUAGUAAUGCCAAUUAUGUUAUAUGGUUUUGUGUUGUUUGGAGCGUUAAUGUCAUUAUUGCAAUUUCUCUUUAUUUCCUUUAAUGAAC
rnacentral:lncRNA from 1 species